CUGGCCCUGAUUCAAGGCCACAGUGGCUUCCUGAUGCUGUUGGUUUCAAGCAGGAGCCUAAAGAGAUGUCUUUCUAUGAUCUGUUGGCCAUUUCAGAACUUGGGCAGUGAAAUGGUCAAUUUAUUAGAAAGAAACAGCU
ensembl:snoRNA small nucleolar RNA SNORA2/SNORA34 family